GUGUCAGCCGCCGCGGUAAGACGAACCGUGCAAACGUUGUUCGGAAUCACUGGGCUUAAAGGGCGCGUAGGCGGAUUCACAAGUCUGUGGUGAAAUCCUCCAGCUUAACUGGAGAAGUGCCGUGGAUACUGUGAGUCUCGAGGAGGAUAGGGGCAUCUGGAACUGCCGGUGGAGCGGUGAAAUGCGUUGAUAUCGGCAGGAACUCCGGUGGCGAAGGCGAGAUGCUGGAUCCUUUCUGACGCUGAGGCGCGAAAGCCAGGGGAGCAAACGGGAUUAGAUACCCCGGUAGUCCUGGCCCUAAACGAUGAGAACUAGAUAGCGAGGGAGACAUGCCCCCGCUGUCGGAGCAAAAGUGUUAAGUUCUCCGCCUGGGGAGUAUGGUCGCAAGGCUGAA
rnacentral:rRNA from 1 species